GAUGAAGAACGUAGUGAAACGCGAUAGUUAAUGUGAAUUGCAGAAUUCAGUGAAUCAUCGAGUCUUUGAACGCACAUUGCGCACAUUGAUAUUCCGUUGGGCAUGUCUGUUUGAGCGUCAUUACAACAGUUCAGCGUAAGCUGGUUAUGAGUUCUGUUUUUUUAAACAAAAAACAGGCUUUAAAAUGUAUGUUCUGCAGGUCGCUUUGCUAAACCCUAAACAUUAAAUACUGUUCUAGUGAAGCAUUUGCGACUCUGCCUGAAAAAAAACUUUUGUUAAAGUUUGACCUCAGAUCAGACAAGGAUACCCGCUGAACUUAAGCAUAUCAAUAAGCGGAGGA
rnacentral:misc_RNA from 1 species